rfam:Cephalotus follicularis DNA, scaffold: scaffold435, isolate: St1.
AAAUAGGCUUUAUUCAAGGCCACAUCAUAUUUAAUCGAAAGUAUAG